GCUGGGUGUGGUGGCGGGCACCUGUAAUCCCAGCUACUCGGGAGGCUGAGGCAGGAGAAUCACUUGAACCCAGGUGGAGGUUGCAGUGAGCUGAGCUCACGCCACUGCACUCCAGCCUGGGCGACAGAGUGAGAGUCUGUCUCAA
ensembl:misc_RNA Metazoa_SRP Metazoan signal recognition particle RNA